AAUCAGGGGCAGCAGGUCUGGAGCUAGGAGGAAGAAAAGAAUUCUGGGGAGAAUAAAUACAGAAAAAAAUUGGCAGCUUUAAUGACUUUUUCAGUAGUCCUCCUGAGCUUGCCUCCACACUACUUCUUUGAGCAUCUCUUCAUUAUAUAUAUUCUAAGCCACGGAUCAGCAAAUUACAGCCGGCCGAUUUCUUCUGUGAAUGGCCAGCCACAUGACAUAUCCAAAAGAACUGUGGAUUUGGAUGUAAGCAAACACAGAGUCGGAUCCUGCUUCUACCACCAACUGGCCAAAGCAUAGUGAUGUGGGGUAAGUGAGCAGAAUUGGUUCCAGAAGCCAGAAAUUGACAGAAGAAUGCAAAUGCUGAACUCAUGCCCAAGCAACCUUUCAAAAAAGAGUUACAUGAUCAAACUGUUUCCUCUCCAUCACGUAAAAUUGCCUUUAUACCCUUCGAAACCAAGCCUGGAGUCCCAAAUUCCCUGGAU